AUGCCUGUAGCGAAUGCGAAUGGCAAUGGAUCUAAUACACACAUUCAGACUUCGGGCGGUAAGGUCCGGAGUCAAGAGGAGAACAGUCCAGAGGCGGGGCUAAGGAACCAAAUUUAUAUAA
rnacentral:rRNA from 1 species